GUUGGGCAUAGUGGUGCAUGUCUGUAAUCCCAGAGGCUAGGGAGGCUGAGGCAGGAGGAUUGUGAGUUCAAAGCCAGCCUUAGCAACUUAACGAGGCCCUAAGCAACUUGAUGAGACCUUGUCUCUA
rnacentral:sRNA from 1 species